ensembl:snoRNA SNORD24 Small nucleolar RNA SNORD24
UGCCGCAAUGAUGACAUUUUAUUUGCUACUCUUGACUGCCGGUAUGACGAGAGUCUUAAACCACCAUUACCGUAACUGAGGCA